rnacentral:rRNA from 2 species
GUCGAGCGGCGGACGGGUGAGUAAUGCCUAGGAAAUUGCCCUGAUGUGGGGGAUAACCAUUGGAAACGAUGGCUAAUACCGCAUGAUGCCUACGGGCCAAAGAGGGGGACCUUCGGGCCUCUCGCGUCAGGAUAUGCCUAGGUGGGAUUAGCUAGUUGGUGAGGUAAGGGCUCACCAAGGCGACGAUCCCUAGCUGGUCUGAGAGGAUGAUCAGCCACACUGGAACUGAGACACGGUCCAGACUCCUACGGGAGGCAGCAGUGGGGAAUAUUGCACAAUGGGCGCAAGCCUGAUGCAGCCAUGCCGCGUGUGUGAAGAAGGCCUUCGGGUUGUAAAGCACUUUCAGUCGUGAGGAAGGUAGUGUAGUUAAUAGCUGCAUUAUUUGACGUUAGCGACAGAAGAAGCACCGGCUAACUCCGUGCCAGCAGCCGCGGUAAUACGGAGGGUGCGAGCGUUAAUCGGAAUUACUGGGCGUAAAGCGCAUGCAGGUGGUUUGUUAAGUCAGAUGUGAAAGCCCGGGGCUCAACCUCGGAAUUGCAUUUGAAACUGGCAGACUAGAGUACUGUAGAGGGGGGUAGAAUUUCAGGUGUAGCGGUGAAAUGCGUAGAGAUCUGAAGGAAUACCGGUGGCGAAGGCGGCCCCCUGGACAGAUACUGACACUCAGAUGCGAAAGCGUGGGGAGCAAACAGGAUUAGAUACCCUGGUAGUCCACGCCGUAAACGAUGUCUACUUGGAGGUUGUGGCCUUGAGCCGUGGCUUUCGGAGCUAACGCGUUAAGUAGACCGCCUGGGGAGUACGGUCGCAAGAUUAAAACUCAAAUGAAUUGACGGGGGCCCGCACAAGCGGUGGAGCAUGUGGUUUAAUUCGAUGCAACGCGAAGAACCUUACCUACUCUUGACAUCCAGAGAACUUUCCAGAGAUGGAUUGGUGCCUUCGGGAACUCUGAGACAGGUGCUGCAUGGCUGUCGUCAGCUCGUGUUGUGAAAUGUUGGGUUAAGUCCCGCAACGAGCGCAACCCUUAUCCUUGUUUGCCAGCGAGUAAUGUCGGGAACUCCAGGGAGACUGCCGGUGAUAAACCGGAGGAAGGUGGGGACGACGUCAAGUCAUCAUGGCCCUUACGAGUAGGGCUACACACGUGCUACAAUGGCGCAUACAGAGGGCGGCCAACUUGCGAAAGUGAGCGAAUCCCAAAAAGUGCGUCGUAGUCCGGAUUGGAGUCUGCAACUCGACUCCAUGAAGUCGGAAUCGCUAGUAAUCGUGGAUCAGAAUGCCACGGUGAAUACGUUCCCGGGCCUUGUACACACCGCCCGUCACACCAUGGGAGUGGGCUGC